rnacentral:rRNA from 1 species
CGCGGCCUAUCAGCUUGUUGGUGAGGUAAUGGCUCACCAAGGCGACGACGGGUAGCCGGCCUGAGAGGGUGACCGGCCACACUGGGACUGAGACACGGCCCAGACUCCUACGGGAGGCAGCAGUGGGGAAUAUUGCACAAUGGGCGAAAGCCUGAUGCAGCAACGCCGCGUGAGGGAUGACGGCCUUCGGGUUGUAAACCUCUUUUAGUAGGGAAGAAGCUGGGGUUUGCCCUGGUGACGGUACUUGCAGAAAAAGCACCGGCUAACUACGUGCCAGCAGCCGCGGUAAUACGUAGGGUGCAAGCGUUGUCCGGAAUUAUUGGGCGUAAAGAGCUCGUAGGCGGUUUGUCGCGUCUGCUGUGAAAACUGGAGGCUCAACUUCCAGCCUGCAGUGGGUACGGGCAGACUAGAGUGCGGUAGGGGAGAUUGGAAUUCCUGGUGUAGCGGUGGAAUGCGCAGAUAUCAGGAGGAACACCAAUGGCGAAGGCAGAUCUCUGGGCCGUAACUGACGCUGAGGAGCGAAAGCAUGGGGAGCGAACAGGAUUAGAUACCCUGGUAGUCCAUGCCGUAAACGUUGGGAACUAGAUGUAGGGGCCAUUCCACGGUUUCUGUGUCGCAGCUAACGCAUUAAGUUCCCCGCCUGGGGAGUACGG